rnacentral:rRNA from 1 species
AUACGUAGGGAGCAAGCGUUAUCCCGGAUUUACUGGGUGUAAAGGGCGCGUAGGCGGGAAUGCAAGUCAGAUGUGAAAUCUGAGGGCUCAACCCUCAAACUGCAUUUGAAACUGUGUUUCUUGAGUGAUGGAGAGGCAAGUGGAAUUCCUAGUGUAGCGGUGAAAUGCGUAGAUAUUAGGAGGAACACCAGUGGCGAAGGCGACUUGCUGGACAUUAACUGACGCUGAGGCGCGAAAGCGUGGGGAGC